rnacentral:ncRNA from 2 species
UUAUAAGGAUCACUCCGAGUUCCGUUUCCUAAAGAUAAAAUUCCAUGGUGCGGAACCGAAGGGUUGAGCCCGAAAGAGUUCAGCCUCCCGCGUUUGGAAAGGAGUUAAAAAAAAUUCAAG